rnacentral:lncRNA from 1 species
CUUUUACCCUCAUACCACAGGACUCCACUUGACAUGAAGGGCCUAUGUACCUCUUAGGAACCUCUCACUUCUCUGACGUGUUACCCCAGACCUAAUUCCCAUGGAACAUCAAUAUGGCCCUCGCCCCAAGAGUAGUCUUCAAUUUCGCUUAACAAUCAGUCAAGCUCUUGUGGCUCAAAACAGGUUGUUGGUAAUUGACAUUGGAAAGGUGACCGGAGGAUGGGAGGUGUGGAACCCAGAGAGCCGGAGAAGGAGUAUUUGGGACAGGAGACCAGACAAGAUUUAUUGCCUCUUCUGACACUGACCUUGUAGGUGGAAAAGUCAUCAUUGUGCACAUGAGUCAUCAUUACUCCUCAGAGCUGCAGAAAUGCUGGCCAGUGGAAUUUUUUUGCUGUGGAGAGAAGGUUGGAUAAGUCACUUUUUAACUGUAACUUCUCAGUAUAGGACAUCAAUCGUCCAACUUUAUGUUUGAGGAAGUUAUAAGGUUAAAGGGAAGAAAUCUUAUGGGCCAGGGUGGGGAGAUAAGGCUGAAUAUGGACAGGGGGUUAGUGGGGAAUAAGCCCUGUUGAUGUCCUCUCUUCAAAAGGGAGCAGUAGGGCCUAAGACCCUAGUCACUUA